ACGAACCGUCCGAACGUUAUUCGGUAUCACUGGGCUUAAAGCGUGCGUAGGCGGCCUGGUAGGUGAGAUGUGAAAGCCCACGGCUCAACCGUGGAAUUGCGUUUCAAACCACCAGGCUGGAGGAUGGCAGGGGUGAUGGGAACUGAUGGUGGAGCGGCGAAAUGCGUUGAUAUCAUCAGGAACACCGGUGGCGAAGGCGUAUCACUGGGCCAUUUCUGACGCUGAGGCACGAAAGCUAGGGUAGCGAACGGGA
rnacentral:rRNA from 1 species